rnacentral:rRNA from 1 species
UACGUAGGGCGCAAGCGUUAUCCGGAAUUAUUGGGCGUAAAGAGCUCGUAGGCGGUUUGUUGCGUCGGCUGUGAAAUCCCGAGGCUCAACCUCGGGUCUGCAGUCGAUACGAGCAAACUAGAGUGUUGCAGGGGAGACUGGAAUUCCUGGUGUAGCGGUGAAAUGCGCAGAUAUCAGGAGGAACACCGGUGGCGAAGGCGGGUCUCUGGGCCGUAACUGACGCUGAGGCGCGAAAGCUAGGGGAGCAAACAGG